rnacentral:rRNA from 1 species
AGUGAACGCUGGCGGCAGGCCUAACACAUGCAAGUCGAACGGCAGCACAAGAGAGCUUGCUCUCUGGGUGGCGAGUGGCGGACGGGUGAGGAAUGCAUCGGAAUCUGCCCAUUUGUGGGGGAUAACCUCGGGAAACCGGGACUAAUACCGCAUACGACCUACGGGUGAAAGCAGGGGAUCUUCGGACCUUGCGCAGAUGGAUGAGCCGAUGCCGGAUUAGCUAGUUGGAGGGGUAAAGGCCCACCAAGGCGACGAUCCGUAGCUGGUCUGAGAGGAUGAUCAGCCACACUGGGACUGAGACACGGCCCAGACUCCUACGGGAGGCAGAAGUGGGGAAUAUUGGACAAUGGGCGCAAGCCUGAUCCAGCCAUGCCGCGUGUGAAGAAGGCCUUCGGGUUGUAAAGCACUUUUGUUGGGAAAGAAAAGCAGCCGGUUAAUACCCGGUUGUCAUGACGGUACCCAAAGAAUAAGCACCGGCUAACUUCGUG